UCCGGUUUGUCACCGGCAGUCUCCCUAGAGUGCCCUUGCGUAGCAACUAGGGACAAGGGUUGCGCUCGUUGCGGGACUUAACCCAACAUCUCACGACACGAGCUGACGACAACCAUGCACCACCUGUCACCGCUGUCCCCGAAGGGAAAACUCUAUCUCUAGAGCGGUCAGCGGGAUGUCAAGACCUGGUAAGGUUCUUCGCGUUGCUUCGAAUUAAACCACAUGCUCCACCGCUUGUGCGGGCCCCCGUCAAUUCCUUUGAGUUUCAGUCUUGCGACCGUACUCCCCAGGCGGAGUGCUUAAUGCGUUAGCAGCAGCACUAAGGGGCGGAAACCCCCUAACACUUAGCACUCAUCGUUUACGGCGUGGACUAC
rnacentral:misc_RNA from 1 species